rnacentral:rRNA from 1 species
GACGAACCGUGCGAACGUUUUUCGGAAUCACUGGGCUUAAAGGGUGCGUAGGCGGGUUUUCAAGUCCGAGGUGAAAGCCUCCAGCUUAACUGGAGAAGAGCCCCGGAUACUGAGAAUCUCGAGGGAGGUAGGGGUCGUUGGAACUUCCGGUGGAGCGGUGAAAUGCGUAGAUAUCGGAAGGAACGCCGGUGGCGAAAGCGAACGACUGGAUCUCUUCUGACGCUGAGGCGCGAAAGCUAGGGGAGCAAACGGG